AUCAACAAGACAUACUGUGCAUUAAACCAAUGUGGAUCUCCAGCAUUCGCCUGAGGUUUCCGCCCCCUCUGCUAUCUCAAGUUGUUUUGUUGAUUGAUUGAAACAGAUGCUAACGUUGCCGUAGCUUGCUUUACCGAACUUGGUACGACACCGGUUUAGGCAUGCCUCUGGCUCGCAGCCUGUCCAUCACCUCCCUGUCGGGGUUGGAGGAGUGGGAUGAGGAGUUUGACUUGGAGGACGCUGUCCUCUUCGAGAUCGCAUGGGAGGUGGCCAACAAAGUUGGUGGGAUUUACACAGUGAUCCAGACCAAAGCCCGUCUGACGGCAGAGGAAUGGGGAGAAAACUACUUCCUGGUUGGUCCGUGCGUGGAGGUAACGUCCGUACCCAGGUGGAGCUGAUUGAGCCCACCAACCCUGUGUACUUUGGUCGUUGGCUGAUUGAGGGCAGUCCAUACGUGGUGCUGAUAGAUGUGGCGUUCACUGCCUGGAACCUGGAUAAGUGGAAAAGAGUUGUGGGACAACUUCUCUAUCGGGGUGCCCUGGUUCGACCGCGAGGCCAACGACGCCGUCCUCUUUGGCUUCUUGACCGCCUGGUUACUGGGAGAGAGUUAGUGGAGAACUGUUACCAGACUGAUGAUACCAAGCUGAUGCUUCUAGAGUUAGUGGAGAACUGUUACCAGACUGAUGAUACCAAGCUGAUGCUUCUAGAGUUAGUGGAGAACUGUUACCAGACUGAUGAUACCAAGCUGAUGCUUCUAGAGUUAGUGGAGAACUGUUACCAGACUGAUGAUACCAAGCUGAUGCUUCUAGAGUUAGUGGAGAACUGUUACCAGACUGAUGAUACCAAUCUGAUGCUUCUAGAGUUAGUGGAGAACUGUUACCAGACUGAUGAUACCAAUCUGAUGCUUCUAGAAAUACUUUUUUUUUCAUGUUAUUUAUUCAAUAAACUUUACCUCAUAGUAGGUAAUAGCUUGGUGAGUGGAAUUGAGGAUUUGGAAUUGUCCUCUCUGUCUCAGUUCAACGUGGAUAAGGAGGCGGGGGAUAGACAGAUCUACCAUCGGUAUUGUCUGGAGAGGACAGCGGCACGCUGCGCUCAUGUCUUCACCACCGUCUCUCAGAUCACAGCCGUUGAGGCAGAGCACCUGCUCAAGAGGAAACCAGACAUAAUCACCCCUAACGGGCUGAACGUGAAGAAGUUCUCUGCCAUGCAUGAGUUCCAGAACCUGCACGCCCAGAGCAAGAACCGUAUCCAGGAGUUCAUCAGAGGUCACUUCUAUGGGCACCUGGACUUCAACCUGGACAAGUGUCUGUUCCUGUUCAUCGCUGGGAGGUAUGAGUUCAGCAACAAAGGAGCUGAUAUCUUCUUGGAGGCUUUGGCCAGACUCAACUAUCUACUGAGAGUCAACCACAGCGAUGUGACUGUCGUUGCGUUCUUCAUCAUGCCUGCGCGGACCAACAACUUCAACGUGGAGACGCUGAAAGGCCAAGCAGUCAGGAAGCAGCUCUGGGAUACCGCUCAAACAGUGAAGGAACGCUUCGGAAAGAAACUCUAUGAAUCACUGCUGGUUGGGCAGUUGCCGGACGUGUCCAAAAUGCUGAGUAAGGACGACUUCACCAUGAUGAAACGUGCCAUCUUUGCCACCCAGAGGCAGUGCCAGCCUCCCAUCUGUACCCACAACAUGCUGGAGGACAGCAACGACCCCAUCCUCUCUUGCAUUCGCCGCAUCGGCUUGUUCAACAGCUCUGCCGACCGCGUCAAGGUGAUCUUCCACCCAGAGUUCCUGUCCUCCACCUCUCCCCUCCUGCCGAUGGAUUAUGAAGAGUUUGUAAGAGGCUGCCAUCUUGGAGUGUUCCCCUCUUACUAUGAACCAUGGGGAUAUACACCAGCUGAGUGUACAGUCAUGGGGAUCCCCUCAAUCUCCACCAACCUCUCUGGGUUUGGCUGCUUCAUGGAGGAACACAUAGCUGAUCCCUCAGCAUACGGAAUCUACAUCCUUGAUCGACGGUACAGAGGGGUUGAUGAGUCAUGUAACCAGCUCACGUCGUACCUGUUCCAGUUCUGUCAGCAGAGCCGGCGCGCCAGGAUCAUCCAGCGGAACCGAACCGAGCGCCUGAGUGACCUUCUGGACUGGAGAUACCUGGGCAGGUAUUACAUAUCAGCUCGUCACAUGGCCCUGGCUAAAGCCUUCCCAGAUACCUACUUCUACCAACCUCAUGACUCUGACACUGCCCAAGGUUUCCGUUACCCUAGACCAGCCUCUGUGCCCCCAUCUCCGUCUCUGUCGCGCCACUCCUCCCCCCGCCAAAGCGAGGCAGAAGAAGAUGAUGACCGCUAUGAUGAAGAUGCAGAGGCAGAGAAAGACCGCUUGAACAUCCGCCAGCCCUUGACCCUGCCUAGUAAAAAGGGUCCCGCCUUGCCUUACACCCUGCCAGGUGCCAAUGGAGAGAAGAACUGACUGUCUCACACACAAAACAUACACAAACUGACAUAUGCUGAUACUCACUACACACACGUUACAAACACGGCACUCUUAUCUUGACCGUCUCCACUUCCAUAAUAUAGAUCUGACAACUCCUGAAGAGAUGGGCUCUUUAUAGUAUGUUAUUCAUUCAGCAGCCGGAACGUCUUCCAAACCUACAUGCAGCUCCACCUCUGUGGGCAUCUGUACUGACAUGGAGGAGGAGAGGGAAAGGAUGUCUAGCUGGGUGAUGUUUCCUUCAGUUAAAGAGCCCAGUUUGAGAUAACAAAGUGGGGUAACUUGGAGUAUAUAGGAUGGUUACCUCUGGUCAUUAAUCUAGGUUACCUCUGGUCAUUAAUCUAGGUUACCUCUGGUCAUUAAUCUAGGUUACCUCUGGUCAUUAAUCUAGGUUACCUCUGGUCCACAGGAGGCUGCUGAGGGAGGAUCAGCUGGAAUAAUGGCUGAAACCAUGUGUUUGAUACCAUUCCAGAUAUUCUGCUCCAGCCAUUACCACGAGCCCGUCCUCCCCAAUUAAGGUGCCACCAACCUCCUGUGCUCUGGUCCUUAAUCUAGGAAUUUAUGAAAUCCUUGCCAGUGUUGACUAACAUGAGUUGUAACUGAGACUAAGAGAACCAUAUAACCAGUGGUAUCAUCAGGAUAAAGAAACCAGGGCUAAUUCGUCUUACUAACAAGGACAAAGGCAUUGGCCCACUGUGUCAUAGUCACACAACCAACCCAACAGCAGCACUUUUCCUGUUCAGACACUGAAGCAGUAACAGCAACCUGUUUAAACAGCAGCAGCACUUUUCCUGUCACACUGUAGCAGUAACAGCAACCCAACCAGCAGCAGCACUUCCCUGGGCUAGGAAACCAAUAAGCAACACAUUUAGAGCUGGGCCCAUAGAGUUAGACUAGAUAGAUGUACUGCAUAUAGCCCGUUUUCUGCAUGGACAUUGCCAUUGAGGGCCUCUAACACAGAUACUAAGAUGAGUCCUCUUUCUAACUCUAUGGCUGAGCCUCAGAACGUCCUGCUGAAGAGCCUCCUGCUGAAACAGACUCCCAUUUGUUCAGAGAUUCAGACCUUCGUGUGGGCGUUGUCAUAGUCUCUGGGCCUUGUACUGUAUUAGAACCAGCAUUACUGUGUGUAAAAACUGUCUGGGCCUUGUACUGUAUUAGAACCGGCAUUACUGUGUGUAAAACUGUUGAUUGGUCACCUUUUAACCUUUCAGUCAGUGAGCCUGUGUUUGAGUGUUUUUCUUUGUGUUUGUGAUGGAACACUGAUUCUGCCUGCACUCUGAGGUUUAGGUCAAUAGGUGGGGCUUCCGUCCUGAAAAGCUAGUGGUGUUUUUAGACAGCAGACUGUAUUAGAGAGGAGCGAAGGGAAAAGGUCACAGGUUUGGGUGGAUCCUAUUCCCAGCGGUGCACAGCCAGAAACCAAGAGGAGUUGAUCCAGAUCCCACACUGCUGUGUCAGUUUGUUUGUUAUAAUCACACACCAGAGGAAGAGAAAAUAAAGUCUAUUCUAUGUAUUAAUGAUGAAA